rnacentral:rRNA from 1 species
UACGUAGGGGGCUAGCGUUGUCCGGAAUCAUUGGGCGUAAAGAGCGUGUAGGCGGCCCGGUAAGUCCGCUGUAAAAGUCAAAGGCUCAACCUUUGAAUGUCAGUGGAUACUGCCCGGGCUAGAGUCCGGAAGAGGCGAGUGGAACUCCUGGUGUAGCGGUGGAAUGCGCAGAUAUCAGGAAGAACACCAACGGCGAAGGCAGCUCGCUGGGACGGUACUGACGCUGAGACGCGAAAAGCGUGGGGGAGCGAACAGG